AGAGUUAUGGCUCAGCGGUAGAGCACUUGCUUGACAUGUGUGAGGCCCUGGGUUCAAUCCUCAGCAAUGCAU
rnacentral:tRNA from 1 species